CAGUAGCCGCGGUAAUACAGAGGGUGCGAGCGUUAAUCGGAUUUACUGGGCGUAAAGCGUGCGUAGGCGGCUUUUUAAGUCGGAUGUGAAAUCCCUGAGCUUAACUUAGGAAUUGCAUUCGAUACUGGGAAGCUAGAGUAUGGGAGAGGAUGGUAGAAUUCCAGGUGUAGCGGUAAAAUGCGUAGAGAUCUGGAGGAAUACCGAUGGCGAAGGCAGCCAUCUGGCCUAAUACUGACGCUGAGGUACGAAAGCAUGGGGAGCAAACAGGAUUAGAUACCCGCGUAGUCCCUGUCUCUUAUAC
rnacentral:rRNA from 1 species